GCUAGGCGGGUGUCCCCUUCCUCCCUCACCGCUCCAUGUGCGUCCCUCCCGAAGCUGCGCGCUCGGUCGAAGAGGACGACCUUCCCCGAUAGAGACGUACCGUUCAUCGGUCAAGGGUAUACGGUAGCUGCGCUCCCCUGCUAGAACCUCCAAACAAGCUCAAGGUCCAUUUGUAGGAGAACGUAGGGUAGUCAAGCUUCCAAGACUGCAGACACAUCCAAGUGAGGCACUGCAUGGGGCAGUCUGCCAUUGUUU
rnacentral:snRNA from 1 species